CCUACGGGGGGCAGCAGUGGGGAAUAUUGCGCAAUGGGCGAAAGCCUGACGCAGCGACGCCGCGUGAGGGAUGAAGGUCUUCGGAUCGUAAACCUCUGUCAGCAGGGAAGAACGGUCACUGUGCUAAUCAGCAGUGAAUUGACGGUACCUGCAAAGGAAGCACCGGCUAACUCCGUGCCAGCAGCCGCGGUAAUACGGAGGGUGCGAGCGUUAAUCGGAAUUGCUGGGCGUAAAGCGCUCGUAGGCGGUAUGUCAAGUCAAGGGUGAAAUCCCCGCGCUCAACGUGGGAACUGCCUUUGAAACUGGCAAACUGGAGUGUGUGAGAGGAUAGUGGAAUUCCAGGUGUAGGAGUGAAAGCCGUAGAUAUCUGGAGGAACAUCAGUGGCGAAGGCGACUAUCUGGCACAUAACUGACGCUGAGGAGCGAAAGCGUGGGUAGCAAACAGGAUUAGAUACCCUAGUAGUC
rnacentral:rRNA from 1 species